UAGGGAAUUUUGCGCAAUGGACGAAAGUCUGACGCAGCAACGCCGCGUGAGUGAUGAAGGUCUUCGGAUUGUAAAACUCUGUUGAAUGGGAAGAAAAGUUUCAGGUACAAUAUGCCUGAAGCCUGACGGUACCGUUCGAGGAAGCCCCGGCUAACUACGUGCCAGCAGCCGCGGUAAUACGUAGGGGGCGAGCGUUGUUCGGAAUUACUGGGCGUAAAGGGAGCGUAGGCGGGUCAGUAAGUUAGAAGUUUAAUGCACAGGCUUAACCUGUGACUUGCUUUUAAUACUGCUGAUCUUGAGUAUGGAAGAGGGAGAUGGAAUUCCAGGUGUAGCGGUGGAAUGCGUAGAUAUCUGGAAGAACACCAUUAGCGAAGGCGGUCUCCUGGUCCAAUACUGACGCUGAGGCUCGAAAGCUAGGGGAGCAAACAGG
rnacentral:rRNA from 1 species